rnacentral:rRNA from 1 species
GAACUUAAGCAUAUCAAUAAGCGGAGGAAAAGAAACCAACAGGGAUUACCUCAGUAACGGCGAGUGAAGCGGUAACAGCUCAAAUUUGAAAUCUGCCGCAAGGCCGAGUUGUAAUUUGUAGAAGAUGCUUUGGGUAUGGCCCCGGUCUAAGUUCGUUGGAACACGACGUCAUAGAGGGUGAGAAUCCCGUAUGUGACUGGGUGCUUUUGCCUAUGUAAAGCUCUUUCGACGAGUCGAGUUGUUUGGGAAUGCAGCUCAAAAUGGGUGGUAUAUUUCAUCUAAAGCUAAAUAUUGGCCAGAGACCGAUAGCGCACAAGUAGAGUGAUCGAAAGAUGAAAAGCACUUUGGAAAGAGAGUUAAACAGUACGUGAAAUUGUUGAAAGGGAAGCGCUUGCAACCAGACUUGCACGCUGUUGAUCAUCCAGGCUUCUGUUUGGUGCACUCAACUGUGUUCAGGCCAGCAUCGGUUUUGGUGGUGGGAUAAAGGCCUUGGGAAUGUAGCUUCUUUCGGGGAGUGUUAUAGCCCUCGGUGCAAUGCCGCCUACUGGGACCGAGGACCGCGCUUCGGCUAGGAUGCUGGCGUAAUGGUUGUAAGCGACCCGUCUUGAAACACGGACCAAGGAGUCUAACAUCUAUGCGAGUGUUUGGGUGUCAAACCCAUACGCGUAAUUAACGUGAACGGAGGUGAGAACCCUUAAGGGUGCAUCAUCGACCGAUCCUGAUGUCUUCGGAUGGAUUUGAGUAAGAGCAUAGCUGUUGGGACCCGAAA